GCAGUGACCUGUGGUGAUGUGCAUGUGAACUUCACUCAAGAAGAGUGGUCUUUGCUGGAUCCUUCCCAGAAGAGUCUCUAUAAAGACGUGAUGCUGGAGACCUAUAUGAACCUCAUUGCUAUAGGCUACAAUUGGGAAGACCAUAAUGUUGAAGAACACAUUCAAAGUUGCAGAAGAAAUGGAAGGCAUGAAAAAGACCAUACUGGAGAGAAGGCUUCUGGCUUUACACAAUUUGACAAAGAGUUUGCAUAUCACAGACUUCCUCCAAGGCAUGAAAGACUUCAUCCUGGAGAGAAACGUUAUGAAUAUAAUCAAUGUGGUAAAGCCUUUGCACAACACAGUCAUCUUCAAAGACAUGAAAGAAUUCAUACAGGAAAGAAACCUUAUGAAUGUAAUCAAUGUGGUAAAGC